CACUUCCUGAAUACUGCAAACAUAUCCAAGCUGGUGUGCUGUAUCUGCAUUGCAUUUAAGUUCCAGGCUAGUACUUCCAAGAUCUGAAUGUUUUUUUGCUCCUGGCCUUUCUGCAUGACGAAUCAGCCCUGGGUACAGACUCAUUUUAUGGACCGUUUAAUCAGACCGGAUUUGGGUCACAGCUCAGGACAACAGCAGAAGUGGGCGAUGCUACCUGUCCAUUUGAAUGAUUGUAAUCAGUGGAUGGGAGCGUAAGGUAGAGAUCACAACAUUAUACAGAAGGAGGGAUUUCUCACAUGAUUCUCUUCCGGGACACAAGUAAAUGCAUUACAAAGGAAGAUGAAGGAAAAAUAAAAUGUAAACACUGAUAAUUAAAAUGAAACAUAAAUUCCUUUUUUUUUUUUUU